UACGAAGGGGGCUAGCGUUGCUCGGAAUCACUGGGCGUAAAGCGCACGAAGGCGGAUUGCUAAGUCAGGGGUGAAAUCCUGGAGCUCAACUCCAGAACUGCCCUUGAUACUGGCGGUCUCGAGUCCGGGAGAGGUGAGUGGAACUGCGAGUGUAGAGGUGAAAUUCGUAGAUAUUCGCAAGAACACCAGUGGCGAAGGCGGCUCACUGGCCCGGUACUGACGCUGAGGUGCGAAAGCGUGGGGAGCAAACAGG
rnacentral:rRNA from 1 species